GACUAAGCCGCUUCUGGAGAACCAGAGCAGUGCACGGAAAUGCUGUUUACCUUCCCGCCGGAGCGGUACCUAUUUAUCUACUUGCACUUUGAGGUGCUUUCGAACUGCUAGGUUGCCAGGAGCAGGGACUGAGCAACGGGAGCUCACCCCGUCGUGGGGAUUCGAACCGCCGACCUUCUGAUCAGCAAGUCCUGGGCUCUGUGGUUUAACCCACAGCACCACCCGUGUCCCACAACAUGGGGAUUAGCAGCUAAUAAAAGUUUGGGUUCUCUUUUGUUCGGGGCUUCCAUCUUGUUCCACCUUGUGGCAGGUGGAAGUCCUGUCUCGAGGGUCUUCAAUAAAG